UACAGAGGUCCCAAGCGUUGUUCGGAUUCAUUGGGCGUAAAGGGUGCGUAGGCGGCGCGGUAAGUCGGGUGUGAAAUCUCGGAGCUUAACUCCGAAACUGCAUUCGAUACUGCCGUGCUCGAGGACUGGAGAGGAGACUGGAAUUUACGGUGUAGCGGUGAAAUGCGUAGAUAUCGUAAGGAAGACCAGUGGCGAAGGCGGGUCUCUGGACAGUUCCUGACGCUGAGGCACGAAGGCCAGGGGAGCAAACGGG
rnacentral:rRNA from 1 species